UCUGAACAUAGCUGGUGGAAAGUUCCACCACACGUAGAUGUAGAAGACUGUCCAUUUUACUCUUGUGACAAGACGACAGCUUUAUUAAAGGAGAAGCCAACACAGACGCAAGAAGAGCCCGAUGAGAAAGAUGACUGAUUAUUUUCCAUAUGUAUUGAUGAAAUGAAGUAUUCUUUAAAACA